GGACUCAGGGAUGACCUCCACCAUGGCCUGGGCCCCUCUCCUCCUCACCCUCCUGGCUCACUGCACAGGAUCCUGGGCCCAGUCUGUGCUGACUCAGCCAUCCUCAGUGUCGGGGGCCCCGGGCGAGAGGGUCACCAUCUCCUGCACUGGAAGCAGCUCCAACAUUGGGGGUGGUAACUAUGUGCACUGGUACCAGCAGCUCCCAGGAAAGGCCCCCAAACUCCUCAUCGAUGGUGAUAACAUCCGACCCUCAGGGGUCCCUGACCGGUUCUCUGGCUCCACGUCUGGCAGCUCAGGCACCCUGACCAUCACAGGGCUGCAGGCUGAGGACGAGGCCGACUAUUACUGCCAGUCCUUCGAUGAUGAUCUUGGUACUCCCACGGUGCUGCAGGCCUGUGGGGAAGCUGCACCGCCCACCGGGGUCCUUGGGCACAACCGCUGUCCCCCCCUCAGUGCUGAGCUCUGA